rnacentral:rRNA from 1 species
UACGUAGGGCGCAAGCGUUGUCCGGAAUUAUUGGGCGUAAAGAGCUCGUAGGCGGUUUGUCGCGUCUGCUGUGAAAACCUAAGGCUCAACCUUGGGCUUGCAGUGGGUACGGGCAGACUAGAGUGCGGUAGGGGUGACUGGAAUUCCUGGCGUAGCGGUGGAAUGCGCAGAUAUCAGGAGGAACACCGAUGGCGAAGGCAGGUCACUGGGCCGCAACUGACGCUGAGGAGCGAAAGCAUGGGGAGCGAACAGG